rnacentral:rRNA from 1 species
GACGAACGCUGGCGGCGUGCUUUAGGCAUGCAAGUCGAACGCGAAAGCCCCUUCGGGGGUGAGUAGAGUGGCUAACGGGUGAGUAACACGUGGGUAACCUGCCCCUCGCAGGGGGAUAACCGGGGGAAACCCCGGCUAAUACCCCGUACGCUUGCUGGGGCGCAUGCUCCGGCAAGGAAAGGUAGCUUCGGCCAUCCGGCGAGGGAGGGGCCCGCGGCCCAUUAGCUAGUUGGUGGGGUAACGGCCCACCAAGGCGACGAUGGGUAGCUGGCCUGAGAGGGUGGUCAGCCACACUGGGACUGAGACACGGCCCAGACUCCUACGGGAGGCAGCAGCCAGGAAUCUUGCGCAAUGGGCGAAAGCCUGACGCAGCAACGCCGCGUGGGCGAUGAAGGCCUUCGGGUCGUAAAGCCCUGUUGUCGGGGACGAAGGGCGAAGGGUUAAUAGCCCCUAGCCUGACGGUACCCGACGAGGAAGCCCCGGCUAACUACGUG